ensembl:antisense Gm16982 predicted gene, 16982
AGGUGGUACAGGAGAGACCCACUACACACAGUGCUUGAGCAGCACGGUGUCUGAGAGCAGCUAUCUGUAGCUCCCUGCCGUGGUGAACAGUGCAGGAUGCCUCAGUGCAGGGCAGAGGGCACCUAACGAAGGUCACAUGAAAUCAUUCCAGGAGACGGGAAUGUGCUCAGCUGGCGCUGCUCCCACAACGGAGACACUCAGCUAAAGGGCCUCGGCUGGAGCGCUGUCCCCAGCUGCCACGUCUUUGAAGAUAGCAGGCCCGGCUGCACUGCAGGAAGAUGGACAGCUUCCUCGUCCAACUGCUGCGUUCACCCCAAACGACAGCAAGUGACGAGCGCCAGGCAAACACUCUGAAAUCCAGACAGCUUGAAUGGAUUCAUCUUAGGUGCCACAUGAGGCACCUCCUAGUCUGACCUCCACAUGGAGGCAGUGACACAUGACCAACAAGGAGCACACCUUCAAGGCAUUGAUGACCGUCUCAAUGUGGGUCUUGACGGCCUCGUGGGAGAACUCAGAGCUGGCCAGCGUGCACAUGCUCUCCAGAGCCAGGAAAGUGAGUUGGACAGCGGCCAUGCAGGAAACUGGACCAGGCUAAGGCAGACAUUCAUUUUCAACCCUGCUCCAGUUUGGCAGACUGCUUUUGUCACAGCAACAUUUAUCUAAAUGAUGGAGCAAAAACAGCUGGUCCCAAACAGGCUAGAGUUCUGUCUGCUACAGCCUCUGGCAGAGACCCAGAGAGCAGUGCCACGGGCAUACAUAAGGGCACACAACCAGGACUGAGCAUAAAAGAGCAGAAGCAAGAUGCCAGCACUGUGUAUGACAACCACUGCCUGUGACCCAACCAUGACCCUGUACAGAAGCUGGGAGUCAUCACUACCACUGCCCCAGGAGACCCCAGAAUACUGGAGCAUUGCCUCUCUGAGCAGCGAAAGUCACACGGGUGUCCCUUCCUUUCAAAGAAGCUUCCUGUAAUACUCAGAAGCAAAAAGGAGCUCUAGGGACGAUUCCACAGCUAUAAAAGUAUCUAUGGCAACGUCCCGGGGCCAGAGAGCUCACAUGAAGUGAGAUCACAGCUCAAGAUGCAAGAGGAGCAGAGACCAAGGCUAGAAUAGAGACACCGGUCAACAUCUGCACAGACAGAUGCCAACUGCCAGCCUCCACCUGCUGUCUCUCGAGAGGGAUGCGCUGCUAGCAGGGCUCACCUGUCAUGGUGGAUGAUCAGGCUGAUGGCCUCAAACAGCACAGCGUUCUUGGCAUUUGAAUGCUGGACCUUCUUGGACUUGGGUGGCUCCUGGGCCUUGUUCAGGAUGGUCUCCAAGCACUCAGUCAGGCGGCCACGCACCGCAGGGUCUUCUGGGCAGGACACAACUGUCGGCUGGGCUCCCAGGCCCUCAUCCCACCAGCCCAGCCCCACACCCGGGCAAGAGGCUCCCGAGACACUGCCUGUCCUAUGGGUGCCUCUGACAAUUAUUCCCAGCUGCAGAUAAGAAGGGGAGCAUUUGUAAAUUGUCAUGGGACAGCUCCCUGCUGCAGUGUCAUAAACACGAGGCAGGGAUGGAGCAGCUGUGGUACCUACACCUGCUUCUAAUUUGGAUGGCACUUAGACAGAAUGUGUUAGUCAUAAAGUCCAAGGAUUAUGGGCAAAACCUCUACGGAGCUUCAGAGACAAGGGGGCUUUGCUCUCGGUUAUCAACCCCAGAAACAGAAAAUAUAAAGCAACAUAAAGAGAAAGAAGAUUUCUAAUUUGGUUCAAAGCAGAAGGAAAAGACAAUGAGCAAAAAAUUGAAGCCAGCCAUGUGGUACACACCUGUAUGAAAGCACUUAGAGGGCAGAGGCAGGAGGAUUAGGAGUUCAAAGAGAGUAAGUUCAAGGCCAGACUGAGUUACAUAAGACCCUGUUUCAUUAAAAACAUAAGGGCCAGUGAGACCGCUCAGUGGAUAAAGGCAUUUGCCAUCAAGCAUGAUGACCUGAGUUCAAUCCUCAGAAACUACACGUGGAAGGAAAGAACCAACUCCCACAGGUUGCCCUCGGGCCUCCACAUGCAUGCUGUGGCACCGCACCCACAAGGCACACAACACACACACAGAGUAAAGGUAAAAGCUAUUAAAACAAAAACCAGUUACAGUGGUAGGAGCCUGCUAUCCCAGUACUUGGGAGGUUAAGACAGGAGGAUUAUAGGGAAUUCUAGGACAGUCUAGGCUGUACAGUAAGAAACUAGUGUAAUAAAUAAAUUAAUUAAUUAAUUUUAAAAGAGGAGAAGGAGGAGGACAGAACAGAACCAAGGCUCCCAGUGAACUUUGUAUGUGAUACUCAAGUAGCUUGCGUGUGCACGUGUGAGGGGACAAAGUUCAGCCUCGGGUGCCAUUCCUCAGGAGCCACCCACACCCACAUUUUUGAGAUAGCAUCUCUGACUGGGACAUGAGACUUGUAGUAGCUCACAUUAGCUCCUCCAUGUCUGCUUCUCUGUGCUAGAGAAUGCACCAGUAUGCAUGCUGCUGUUUUAGACUGAGCUCAGGUACUGGAGUCUGCCAUGCCAACACUUCACUAACUUGACCUCUCUCUGAAACACCUCCUAAUAACCCUUUAACCCUAAUAAACAAAGACUUUGUGCAGC